rfam:Ixodes scapularis strain Wikel colony gcontig_1108378319440, whole genome shotgun sequence.
UUUAAGGCCCUUUUAAGGGCCAAACAAACAAACAAACAAACAAAA